GGAAUCACUGGGCACUGUAAACAAUCCAAAGGCAAUUUUUAGAACGAAAGCAAGCAAUUCUCUAUGAAUGGUUUACAAUACCCGGAAUA
rnacentral:pre_miRNA from 1 species